rnacentral:rRNA from 1 species
CCAAUAGCGUAUAUUAAAGUUGUUGCAGUUAAAAAGCUCGUAGUUGAAUUUCGGGAUCAAUACGUCGGUCGUGCCUUCGGCACGCACUGGCGCCGUUGAUUUCUCCCUUCUGAUGAACCACGAUGUCAUUAAUUUGGUGUUGUGGGGAGUCAGGACUGUUACUUUGAAAAAAUUAGAGUGUUUAAAGCAGGCAAACGCUUGAAUACAUUAGCAUGGAAUAAUGAAAUAGGACGUUCGAACCUAUUUUGUUGGUUUCUAGGUACAACGUAAGGUUUAAUAGGGAUAGUUGGGGGCAUUAGUAUUCAAUUGUCAGAGGUGAAAUUCUUGGAUUUAUUGAAGAAUAACUACUGCGAAAGCAUUUGCCAAGGAUGUUUUCAUUAAUCAAGAACGAAAGUUAGGGGAUCGAAGACGAUCAGAUACCGUCGUAGUCUUAACCAUAAACUAUGCCGACUAGGGAUCGGAUGAAGUUAAUUUUUUAAUGACUCAUUCGGCGCCUUACG